GGCCGGUUAGCUCAGUGGGUUGAGCGCGGCGCUGACAACACCGAGGUCAUGGGUUUGAUUCCCGUUCGGUCC
rnacentral:tRNA from 1 species